UCCUAGCCCCAAAUGAUCCCUAACUGUGAAUUCCUCCGCCUUCAAGACCCUUGCCAACUCGUUUGUCACGUUUCAUUGACCGCCCUGGAGUGUCAGUUACAGGGCUAAUCCCUCCCGCGCUGUUGUAAGCUCCUUGAGGAUCAAGGAAUAAGUUUUACACUUAAAUGUUUUCUUCACACCCUUUAGCAAAACUGCUUUACGUACAGCUGACAACCAGCUGACUGAUGUCUAGGAGACGUGGAAAGCCUUGUGCUGAGCUGGGACUAUCGAGCAGGUUUCCCAUUGGAAUUAUGAUCCCUUGUGCACCUUUGUCUUCUGUUUUGCAGGAGUCAUGAUUUCCUUUUUUUAUGUCAACUUCUUUAUGCAGUUGGCUGCGUAUCAAAAAUUACCACUCCGUGCCAGAAUCUAGUCAGCACUUCAAAAGACACCCUCCCAAUCAGAAUUCUGCUGAGGCAGGAUGAUUGGACUUCCUUCCCACUGAAGUUCCUCAUGCAAACACCAAUAUCGCCGCAUCAUGAUGACUGAUGACCAUUUGUGGAGUAAACAGAAAACAGUGUCCCAGGACAUACCACCUCUGUCUCUGGAGCCAGUUGCCACAUUGCAAACAUGACAACAAAUGAAUUGAUGAUAGCAUCUGCUUAAUCUGGCUUUUGUCCACAUGUCAAGACUGUAAAGUCACUAAUUGAGGCUUUUUUAUUUGCUCUGGUCUAGUUUCUUCAUUUCCUACUCUCCAAACUGAGUUUAAUUCAAUCAACAUUGACUGAAAAACUGUCAGUUUUAAUGGUGCUACAUUUUUUUGAUCUUUGAUGUUUAACAAACAUGCAAACCAAAUGUUGUCUUAAUCAAAAAUGGAUUUCUUGGUAUCACAUUAAUAUACCAAUGUCUGAUAUUGUGUCUGAUAUUUCUUAAAAAUUAAGAACUUGCACUUGAUAGGAUUGCUUAAAGUAUCUAAAAAGUGCUUAAUAAAUAUUAGCUGAUAUUCCUGAGAUACUUUUUU
ensembl:lncRNA